UGCGCGUGCGCGGGCGCGCGGGCGACGGGGCUCGCUCUGAGGAAGCGGCCCGCUGAGUGAAAGAGCCGUCGCCACCGUGUCUUUGUUCUUUCGCUGAACACACGGCUCCUCUCAGGAAGGCGAACCUCCCUUUCAACCCCAUAAAUGGGAUUCAUACAGCAUUCAACAAGUAUUUAUGGAGUGUUUACUCUGCCAAUGACGCUGUUCUAGGUGCUAGGAAUACAAUAUGAGCAAAACAGAAACCCCCACCAUAAGGUGAAGAGAAGUGAAAGACAAAAUGAUUAUACAGUGCAUGAGAUUCCAAAAGAAAUGAAAGUUGCCCACAGCUCAUUUCCCAAGAGGAACCACUUUUACCAUUUUGAUGUCUUUGCUUUCAGUCUUGAAAAGCGACAUUGCAAUGUAAUUUGAAAACACAUUUUCUUACUAUAAAAGGAAGAAACCUGCCAAACAUUCUUGAUACAUUUUGCUGUGUUUUUCAACAUACGUCAGCAAAAUGCUAGGACCUGAGGAAACAGGACUCAUCCGGGUGGGGAGUAUAAAGUGACAGUGUCAUUUGUAAAGGUGGGUCAGCAGUAUUUGUCAUUAUGAGCACGUUCAUGUAUUUACUGUCUGACCCACUGAUUCCAUUUCAGGGAAUGUUGCCUGCAAAAAUUUUCAUACAUGCACCUAAGGAUGAGGAUAGUCACUGCAACAGCUUCAUGUCCGUCUUUCAAGUUCUACUUAAAUGACCUAGGGUGCAACUAUGUUGUAAAUAUGUAUGUAUAUAUUGUAUAUAUUUA